rnacentral:rRNA from 1 species
GCCGAACGCUGGCGGCGGGCUUAACCCAUGCAAGUCGAACGGAAGGGCACUGCUUUUGUGGGUUGCUCGAGUGGCGAACGGUUGGGUAACACGAGAAUAACCUGCCCUUGACUUUGGGAUAACUUCAGGAAACUGGGGCUAAUACCGGAUAGACGCUCCUGCUGCAUUUUUGGGGUUGGAAAGUUUCGGCGGAUGGGGAUGUACUCGCGGCUUAUCAGCUUGUGGGUGGGGUAGUGGCUUACCAGGGCAUUGACGGGUUGCCGGACUGAGAGGGAGACAGGCCACAUUGGCACUGAGAUACCGGCAAGAGUCCUACGGGGGGAAGCAGUGGGGAAUAUUGCACAAUGGGCGGAAGCCGGAAGGAGCAACUUCGCGCGCGAGAUGACGGCCUUAGGGGUGUAACCCGCUUGCGCCUGUGACGAAGCGUGAGUGACGGUAAUGGGUAAAGAAGCACCGGCUAACUACGUG